AAUGCAAAUGGGUGAGAUCAUUGUUUUUAGUUUCAUUGAACUAUUUGAAUGAUUGAAUAUAUAAAAGGGCAUCAGACACCCUGGUGUUUAGAGUUCCUGAGACCUCAUCUUCUGCGCUAAUCACCAUGUUCUUUGAGAAAACAGUGUGCCUCGUCGCCAUCAUCGUUAUGCUUGUCACAAUGGUUGAGCCAAUUCCACUUGGGCUAAAGAAAUGGAACCCCAUCCCCCCCUGGCAUGUCGACGAGGACAAGAUGUAGAGCCACCAGGCAUCCAUUGAAGCCUUUUAAUCACUACAAACAUUGUGUAGUCAAAUUAAAUAAAACAGUCCUGCAUAUCUAUCUAUUACUUGUGCCUUGUGUCACCUGUCCUGCUCUGUCAUUUAACAAGGAUUUGUCAGCCCACCACAAAGACUCUCUCUGUUUCAUUCAUUUUUAACAUCUGACUGCAAAUAAUCAAGCAAGAUCUUUGCUGUACAUCUAAGUACCCAGUGUUCAAGGUGCUUCAAAAUUUGCUGGUGUUCUCUUUCCAAGGCUCUUCUAGAUUUUUCCAAUCAAACUCUUUCAAACUUCACCUUUGGUUUUCUACUUUGGUGUCUCUUGAUGU